GGUCUGUAGCUCAGGUGGUUAGAGCGCACCCCUGAUAAGGGUGAGGUCGGAGGUUCAAGUCCUCCCAGACCCACCACUAUCUCGCGGCAGUUACUGAAAAG
rnacentral:tRNA from 1 species